AGAGUUUGAUCCUGGCUCAGAGCGAACGCUGGCGGCAGGCCUAAUACAUGCAAGUCGAGCGCACCUUCGGGUGAGCGGCGGACGGGUGAGUAACGCGUGGGAAUGUGCCCUUUGGUACGGAACAACUGAGGGAAACUUCAGCUAAUACCGUAUGUGCCCUUCGGGGGAAAGAUUUAUCGCCAUUGGAGCAGCCCGCGUUGGAUUAGGUAGUUGGUGAGGUAAAGGCUCACCAAGCCUACGAUCCAUAGCUGGUCUGAGAGGAUGAUCAGCCACACUGGGACUGAGACACGGCCCAGACUCCUACGGGAGGCAGCAGUAGGGAAUCUUGCGCAAUGGGCGAAAGCCUGACGCAGCCAUGCCGCGUGAAUGAUGAAGGUCUUAGGAUUGUAAAAUUCUUUCACCGGGGAAGAUAAUGACGGUACCCGGAGAAGAAGCCCCGGCUAACUUCGUGCCAGCAGCCGCGGUAAUACGAAGGGGGCUAGCGUUGCUCGGAAUUACUGGGCGUAAAGGGCGCGUAGGCGGAUAUUUAAGUUAGAGGUGAAAGCCCAGGGCUCAACCCUGGAAUAGCCUUUAAUACUGGAUAUCUUGAGUUCGGGAGAGGUGAGUGGAACUCCGAGUGUAGAGGUGAAAUUCGUAGAUAUUCGGAAGAACACCAGUGGCGAAGGCGACUCACUGGCCCGAUACUGACGCUGAGGCGCGAAAGCGUGGGGAGCAAACAGGAUUAGAUACCCUAGUAGUCC
rnacentral:rRNA from 1 species